ACAUUCUGAAAAUUACCCUUUAUUGUAUCAGUCAGUAAAGGUGCGAUAACCUGUGCCAACAAUAAUGUGGCUCAUCAAAGCUUAUUGCCAGUCUAUGUGGCUGUGUAAUCAAACCCAUGUGCCCACAAUC